rnacentral:hammerhead_ribozyme from 1 species
AUACAGAAGACGAGUCUUAAAUAGGACGAAAUGUGCAUCCUGGAU